AGUGAACGCUGGCGGCAGGCCUAACACAUGCCAGUCGAGCGGCAGCGGGUCCUUCGGGAUGCCGGCGCGCGGAGGACGGGCGAGGAAUGCGUCGGAAGCUGCCUUUUUGAGGGGGAUAGCGUAGCGAAACGUACGCUAAUACCGCAUACGAUCUACGGGUGAACGGGGGGGACCGAAAGGCCCAACGCGGAAAGAUGAGCCGACGUCGGAUUCGCUAGCUGGAGGGGUAACGGCCCACCAAGGCGACGAUCCGUGGCUGACCUGGGAGGAUGACCGGCCACACUGGAACUGAGACACGGUCCAGACUCCUACGGGAGGCAGCAGUGGGGAAUAUUGCACAAUGGGCGCAAGCCUGAGCGAGCAAUGCCGCGUGUGUGACGAAGGCCUUCGGGUUGUAAAGCACUUUUAUCAGGAAAGAAAUCAUGUCGACUAAUACCAGGAGGAGAUGACGGUACCGAAAGAGUAAGCGCCGGCUAACUACGUG
rnacentral:rRNA from 1 species